rnacentral:rRNA from 1 species
GUCCUUUUGAAUANUAANUUUAAGGUCUAGCCUGCCCAAUGNANNAUUANUUUAAUGGCUGCGGNNUAUUUUGACUGUACGAAGGUAGCAUAAUAAUUAGUUUUUUAAUUGAAAGCUGGUAUGAAUGGCUGAACGAGAAAAUUACUGUCUCAAAUUNAAANCUUUUAGAAUUUUAUUUUUAAGUUAAAAAGCUUAAAUAUUUUUAAAAGACGAGAAGACCCUAUAGAGUUUNUAUAAUUUAUUUANAUUNNUUNAUNUUUUAGNAAAANUNNNUAAUAAUUNAAGUAAAUUAUUUUAUUGGGGUGAUAAAUAUAUUUAAUAAACUUUAUUNUAAANUUUAUACAUAAAUUUAUGAAUUAUUGAUCCAUUAUUNUAUGAUUAUCAGAUAAAAUUACCUUAGGGAUAACAGCGUAAUCUUUUUAAAGAGUUCUUAUCGAAAAAAGGGAUUGCGACCUCGAUGUUGGAUUAAAAUUAAUAUUUGGUGUAGAAGCUNAANAUUAUUAGGUCUGUUCGACCUUUAAAAUUUUACAUGAUCUGAGUUUAAACCGGUAUGAGCCAGGUUGGUUUCUAUCUUUAAAUA